rnacentral:rRNA from 1 species
GACGACGCUGGCGGCGUGCCUAAUACAUGCAAGUAGGACGAGUUGCGAACGGGUGAGUAAAGCGUGGUCACCUGCCUAUUAGAGGGGGAUAACUAUUGGAAACGAUAGCUAAUACCGCAUACUAUUAGAUGGACCUGCGUUGUAUUAGCUCGUAGGCAGGGUAAUGGCCUACCUAGGCGACGAUCCCUAUCUGGUCGGCGAGGUUGGCCAGCCACUAUGGAACUGAGGCACGGUCCAGCCCCCUACGGGAGCCAGCAGGGGGGAAUAUUGCACAAUGGGCGCAAUCCUGAUGCAGCCAUGCCGCGUGUAUGAAGAAGGCCUUCGGGUUGUAAAGUACUUUCAGCGGGGAGUCGUUACCCGCAGAAGAAGCACCGUCUAACUCCGUGCCAGCCGCCGCGGUAGUAC